rnacentral:rRNA from 1 species
CGUGGAUAAUCUGCCCUAAGGUGGAGGAUAACCUCGGAAAACUGAGAAUAAUACUCCAUAAGUCUAGGAUGCUGGAAUGCACUUAGGCUGAAAACUCCGGUGCCUUAGGAUGAGUCUGCGGACUAUCAGGUUGUAGUCAGGGUAAAGACCUGACUAGCCUACGACGGAUACGGGUUGUGAGAGCAAUAACCCGGAGAUGAUAUCUGAGACACGAUAUCAGGCCCUACGGGGCGCAGCAGGCGCGAAAACUUCACACUGCGCGAAAGCGCGAUGAGGGAAUCCCAAGUGCUUGCACGUAAGUGUAAGCUGUUUUUAUGUUUAAAAAGCAUAGAGAGUAAGAGCUGGGUAAGACGGGUGCCAGCCGCCGCGGUAAUACCUGCAGCUCAAGUGGUGAUCGUUAUUAUUGGGCCUAAAACGUCCGUAGCCUGUCUAUUAAAUGCCUGGGUAAAUCGUGUAGCUUAACUAUACGAAUUCCGGGUAGACUGGUAGACUUGAGACUGGGAGAGGCUAGAGGUACUCCUGGGGUAGAGGUGAAAUUCUGUAAUCCUGGGGGGACCACCAGUGGCGAAGGCGUCUAGCCAGAACGGGUCUGACGGUG